rnacentral:rRNA from 1 species
AUUGAACGCUGGCGGCAGGCCUAACACAUGCAAGUCGAGCGGUAGAGAGGUGCUUGCAUCUCUUGAGAGCGGCGGACGGGUGAGUAAUGCCUAGGAAUCUGCCUAGUGGUGGGGGAUAACGUUCGGAAACGGACGCUAAUACCGCAUACGUCCUACGGGAGAAAGCGGGGGAUCUUCGGACCUCGCGCCAUUAGAUGAGCCUAGGUCGGAUUAGCUAGUUGGUGAGGUAAUGGCUCACCAAGGCGACGAUCCGUAACUGGUCUGAGAGGAUGAUCAGUCACACUGGAACUGAGACACGGUCCAGACUCCUACGGGAGGCAGCAGUGGGGAAUAUUGGACAAUGGGCGAAAGCCUGAUCCAGCCAUGCCGCGUGUGUGAAGAAGGUCUUCGGAUUGUAAAGCACUUUAAGUUGGGAGGAAGGGUAGUAACCUAA